CUUUGCAGGGCCCAAAUGCUAACUCCAUUUACCGAAACCUCCUUGGUUAAGGGUUCUGGAAAGUUUCAAGAACAUAAAAUAAGAAAACAGUGAUAAGCUGCCUUAGAAAUGCAAUUUUACAAAGUUGUCAAGUAAACCUAUUAGAGCCAGGAAAAUGUUGUAAAGUAUGGUAAAAAUCUCCAUCUUAGGGAGAAAAGGACAGUGAGCAUUGCUGCCUUCCCUCCUGUUCUCCUUUACCCACAGGUUUCCUCCCCCAACUUAAGAGUAUGCAUUAGGAAACAGAGGAGGGACAGUUUUCAUGGGAGAAAUGGGAAGAAGGAAGACUGGAAGAAUGUGUGCACAUACGGGGAUAGGAGAAAGAAUUUUGGAGCCCAGAGUAGCUUCUAUUGAUUGUAGCUCUUUGACCUGGAUGUUUAAAAAGGAAUGAAGAGCAAUUACAGUACCAGAGUCACCUGAUAACCCACAGAGAUGUAAAGUUUCCGUGAGGGUACAGUAGUAUGUAAGUACAUGUUUUUAUUUUUUUAUUUUUUAUAUUGAGAUUAACACAUUUUCUAAGUUACUUAUUUAUUUUGGAAGAGAGAGUGGUGGAGGGGCAGAGAGAGAGGGAGAGAGAAUCCCCAGCAGGCUCUGCACUGUCAGCACAGAGCCUGACUUGGGGCUCAGUCCCACAAACCAUGAAAUCAUAACCUGAGCUGAAAACAAGAAUUGGUCGCUUAACUGACUGAGGCACCCAGGUGCCACAAGAUAAACAUAUUUUUAAUAUUUUUAUUAAAUCCUUAAAUUUAAUUUUCUUAUAGUUAUUAAAGGCAUUGCAGGUAUUUUCUUGUUUUUGAAAAUAGAAUUCUUUUAUUGAGACAAUUUUAGAUUUACAAGCUGUUAUAAUAAGUAAUACAGAGUGAUCCUGUGUAUAGAGUGCCUCAAUACUAAUAACACAAAACUAUAGUACAAGUCAUGAUCAGGAUUUUGGCAUUAAUACACUCAAGGUAUAAUCAAAAUUUUUAUAGUAUGCCCUUAUUAUCCUAUUGAUUUCUACAGGGUCUGAGUGAUAUUUCCUGUUUCAUUCCUGAUAUGGUUAAUUUGUGUCUUUUCUCAUUUCUUUUCAGCCUUUCUGAAUUUUAUUAAUAUUUUUGAAGAAUAGGCCUUUAAUUUCACUGAUUUUGCCUUCUUUUUUUGUUUCUAAUUGCAUUGAUAUCUACUCUUUUUCUUUUUAAGUAAUCUCUAUGCCCAAGUGGGGCUUGAACCCACGACCCUGAGAUCUAGAGUUGCAUUCUUUUCCAACUGACCCAGACAGGUGCCACAAUGUCUACUUUUAUUUUUUAUUAAUUCUUUCUUUCUAUUUUCUUUGGGCUUAUAUUGCUCUUCAUU
rnacentral:lncRNA from 1 species